UGGACUCCAGUCGCCCUCCUCGCUCCACGUGGUGGUGCCCUGCAUGCCAUCCAUGCCGCCCUCGCCAACGGGCUCUAGUCGCCCACCUCGCUCCACGCGGUGGAGCCCUGCACGCCAUCUGCGCCGCCCUCGCCGAUGAACUCCGGUUGCCCUCCUUGAUCCACGUGGCGGCAUGGCUCCUCACGGAAGGACUUCCAGCCAGCACAGCCCUGCCGCCCCUCAGGGACGGACUUGCAGCCGCAUGCCCCGGCCGGCGUAGGAACAAGAGCUGUCUAAAGAUUUGUCACCCAUAGCGUUCUCUACAGGUUGAACUGGUUGCUUCAAAUUAGCAUCAUAACUAUUAGCUGUUUUUCUUGUAUCCAACCGAUUUUCAUAGCAUGCUAUUUUGACAUUGAUUUUGAUUAUUUCUUUGACAUGGAUUGUCAUCUUUUGCUAAUUUAUGUGACAUGUUAAUUAAUAAAAAAUCAUGAUCAUCUAAAAGUGCCUUUAAUUAAUCUAAUGAAAAACGUCAGCUCCUUCAAUGCGAUAUACAAACUUCAUAUGAACCACCAUUGCUAUCAUGAUUCACAUUUUUGCUCCACAUUCAGGGUAGUCAGAACUCUAUAAUUGCAAAUACUUUAGAGGCAUGUUGUGUAAUUGCAACAAUUAUCAAUAAUAAGGUCUUACAUAUUUUGUAAUGUUCAGGUCCUUCGAUCGGUAUAUUGUGUGUCAAAGGUCCUGUUCAUCUCUAACAAAUUCCACUGCAGCCUCGGUCGUAUAUAUGUGUUCUUCAAACUAUUUCAUGUUCUUUUCUUGGGCCUUAGUGUUUUGAUUCUUCGGCGUUUGACAAACGGUUCACAAAUGAAGCUCACGCUAACAAUUUUAGAGAUGUAGGUUGGCCUGCAGCUCAGAGGAGAAGCAUGCCUCAGUCUGUCCCUCAGAAGUUGUUGCCGCCGUCCUCGCUGCAACCACCUGAGACGAAACUCGGUGUUGCAGUACUAGAAGGUGGAUCAGGGUGCAGUGUUGAAGCAUUUUGAUUGGCCGGAGAGGAAGGAGGACACUGCAGUAUGCAACCUUUUGCUUAGUAACCUCAUAAAGAAUUGAACAAUAAGUUUCUAACUACAAAAAUGACAUCAAAACCUUGCAUGCGACAUCAGACCUAUCAUUUGUACGGCAAAUUUUACAAAAAGAAUGUAUAUAAUUUGUGGUAGUGGAGUUACAUUUAGUGCUGAGUAUUUGAUUGAUAUUCCUUAUUCCGUAUGGAGCAAAGUCUCUGGAACCUUUAUAUCUAAAGCAGUUUAACUUUGAUACUGGGCAAUAGGUAUCCUGAGCUUUGCCACUUUUCUGGAGUGCUUUGAAAUUGGAGUUCCAGUUUCUUGAUUUUCAGGAAAUUAAAUAGGAGUGUUUAGGAAAGACGAGGAGAGGAAGGCACGGGAAGUAAAGAAGGAGGGAAAGGAGAGGGAAAAAGGAGAAGUUGCUCAAGAAGAAGUUGAAGGGUUGGCCUGCAGCUCGGAGGAGAAGCAUGCUUUAGUCUGUCCCUCAGAAGUUGUUGCCGCCGUCCUCGCUGCCACCGCAUGAGACGAAACUCGGUGGUAAGCCUCUUCUCUCCUUCUCAGUUCUUCGCCUUUGCUUUGAAUGAUCUCUGUUCAUGUUAUUAUUGUUUAUAAAUAAUAUCUUCCGUUCUUCCUGGUUAUAAUUGUCCGUUGAAUACUUAGAUAUGUUGCCAAAGAUUAGAAUGCAUUAUGUCCAUACACCUCUGAUUGUUUGAUCCUAUUCUGAAGCAUUUUUUCAAUACUUAUAUUUGGAUGGGCGAGGUGCGGUGCAGGUUCCACCGAUUCAGGAAGCACACGGCUGAAUGGAAUCAAACAGAACCAAUGCUGCAGCUAUAGCAUCAUAUAUCUAGCGAUUCAUGUGUUAAUUCAGUGAUAACAACUAUAUCAUCAUAUAUUAUUUCACUUGCAUCGUUCCCUUCCAUUGAUGUCGUAGCAGGUACUUGCCAGUCUAUGGAACAUAGUUAUGAGUGGAGUGAGUGAGAAGAGUACAUGACUGUAGGUUGCAACUUGCUAAUUAUACAACGUGUUCAUGUGUGCGUAUUGUAGUUAUCUGAACCAUGCAAAAAUGGAUAGGUUUUUCUAGAAUAUUAAGCUGUUAUUAGCUAACAUCUCUUCUUUUCUCAUUUAGUCGCUGUACUAGAAGGUGGAUCAGGGUGCAGUGUUGAAUCAUUUUGAUUAGCCGGAGAUGAAUGAGGACACUGCGGUAUGCAACCUUUUGCUUAGUAACCUCAUAAAGAAUUGAAGAAUAAGUUUCUAACUACAAAAAUGACAACAAAACCUUGCAUGUGACAUCAGACCUAUCAUUUGUACGGAAAAUUCUACAAAAAGAAUAUAUAUAAUUUGUGGUAGUGGAUUUACAUUUAGUGUUGAGUAUUUGAUUGAUAUUCCUUAUUCCGUAGGGAGCAAAGUCUCUAGAACCUUCAUAUCUAAAUCAGUUUAACUUUGAUACUGGGCAAUAGGUAUCCUGAGCUUUGCUACUUUUCUGAAGUGCUUUGAAAUUGGAGUUCCAGUUUCUUGAUUUUUAGGAAAUUGAAUAGGAGUGUUUAGGAAAGACAAGGAGAGGAAGGCACGGGAAGCAAAGAAGUGGGAAAAUGGGAGGGAAAAGGAGAAGUUGCUCAAGAAGAAGUUGGAGGACAGCUUGUCCUCGAGCUGGAAGUCAGGAAAGUGCGGGCGGAACUCCUCGAGCUGCUCCCAAGUGGUGUCCUCCUCCGGAAGGCCUUGCCACUAGAUCAACAAACGCCAAGCACACCUCGGCUCCGCUAGGCCUUCAACACCUUCUCGGGAUCCGGGAGCAGACGUCCAUCGGAGGUUGGAGGAAGAGCCGGCGCAGCCGCCGGCGGAUCCCCGUGGAAGGGCUUCAAGCCCACAUGGAGGGCGUCGUGGAUGCGGGCGCCAGGCGGAAGCUGAAGGCGGUAGGCAACAUUGCCGGUGCGCUCCAACACCGAAAACGGUCCCACGUAGCGAGGGCCCAGCUUGCGCUUGGCGCGCGGGUCCAGUGACUGCGUGGUGCGGUGAAGGAGCCGUAGCCACACCCAGUCACCCACCGCAAACUCCGCCUCGCAGUGGUGGGCGUCGUAGACUGCUAUAACCAAGAAGCUCAGAUAGAAGCUCAUAUGCAUGUGUAGAAUAAUAAACGGCAAAAUAGAUUCCUAGUCUUGUCUCUAGGACUAGUUCUAGUAUUGCAUGAUGAUCAUUUUUUCCUGAUCAUGUGGAUGAGUUAGGUUGUAACGAGGAUGCCAGCAACAUUAAGAACACGAUGUUAGAAGAAUACUUGUGUUGAAUUGAUUAAAGUUGUUUGUUACACUUAGAGAUGAUUUCAAUCACAAGUUUAUAGUUCAUAACACGGAAAACGUAUGCACAAUUCAUUAGACCAUGAUAAUAUCAUUUCACUUCAUACUGGAUGGUGUACUUUGGGGUUGUUCCGACGUCAUUUAUAACAGGGUGGUUAUAGUGGCAACUUCAGGUUCAUCAGAAAUGUAUGUCGAGCUCCC